rnacentral:rRNA from 1 species
UGGGGAAUCUUGCGCAAUGGGGGCAACCCUGACGCAGCAACGCCGCGUGAGUGAUGAAGGUCUUCGGAUCGUAAAGCUCUGUCGAAGGGGAAGAUGCAUACGCCGUCUAAUCGAUGGCGUGUGUGACGGUACCCUUAAAGGAAGCACCGGCUAACUCUGUGCCAGCAGCCGCGGUAAUACAGAGGGUGCAAGCGUUGUUCGGAAUUAUUGGGCGUAAAGGGAGUGUAGGCGGCUCUUUAAGUCUUCUGUGAAAUCUACGGGCUUAACCUGUAACGUGCAGAGGAUACUGAGGAGCUUGAGUGUCGGAGAGGAUAGUGGAAUUCCCGGUGUAGAGGUGAAAUUCGUAGAGAUCGGGAGGAACACCAGUGGCGAAGGCGACUGUCUGGCUGACAACUGACGCUGAGACUCGAAAGCAUGGGGAGCAAACAGGAUUAGAUACCCCCGUAGUCC